GCAGAACGAGGCGCAUGCGCUGGCGACGAUCCAGCAGAUCGAUUCGGUUUAUGCCGACUUCACCCAGUCGGUGAACGAGCUCAACAAGCUGCGGCGCGAUUUCGAUCGCGGCGACCUCGACGCGGGGUCGCCGGACGCCNGGCUCGUGCUCGACGACGGCUCGAUCUAUCCGUUGGACGGCAAGCUGCUGUUCUCCGACGCCAAGGUCGAUGCCGGCACCGGACAAGUGACCUUGCGCGGCGAAUUCAAGAA
rnacentral:misc_RNA from 1 species